rnacentral:rRNA from 1 species
AAGGCCUUCGGGUGUAAACCGCUUUUAUUCGGGAAGAAGGGAGUUGGGGUUAAUAGCCUCGAUGACGGACGGUACUGGAUGAAUAAGCACCGGCUAACUACGUGC